CCUACGGGAGACAGCAGUGAGGAAUAUUGGUCAAUGGGCGUAAGCCUGAACCAGCCAAGUCGCGUGAGGGAUGAAGGUUCUAUGGAUCGUAAACCUCUUUUAUAAGGGAAUAAAGUGUGGGACGUGUCCUAUUUUGUAAGUACCUUAUGAAUAAGGAUCGGCUAACUCCGUGCCAGCAGCCGCGGUAAUACGGAGGAUCCGAGCGUUAUCCGGAUUUAUUGGGUUUAAAGGGUGCGUAGGCGACCUGUUAAGUUAGCGGUGAAAGUCCGUGGCUCAACAAUAGAAUUGACGUUGAAACUGGUCGGCUUGAGUAUAUUUGCGGCAGGCGGAAUGCGUGGUGUAGCGGUGAAAUGCUUAGAGAUCACGCAGAACCCCGAUUGCGAAGGCAGCCUGCCAAGCCAUUACUGACGCUGAUGCACGAAAGCGUGGGGAUCAAACAGGAUUAGAUACCCGGGUAGUC
rnacentral:rRNA from 1 species